AUUGAACGCUGGCGGCAGGCCUAACACAUGCAAGUCGAGCGGAGCGGCGGACGUGCGAUUAAUGCCUAGGAAUCUGCCUGGUAGUACGGGAUAACGUCCGGAAACGGGCGCUAAUACCGCAUACUCUCAGAUGAGCCUAGCUCGGACUAGAUAGUGGGUGGGGUAAAGGCCUAACAAGGCGACGAUCCGUAACUGGUCUGAGAGGAUGAUCAGUCACACUGGAACUGAGACACGGUCCAGACUCCUACGGGAGGCAGCAGUGGGGAAUAUUGGACAAUGGGCGAAAGCCUGAUCCAGCCAUGCCGCGUGUGUGAAGAAGGUCUUCGGAUUGUAAAGCACUUUAAGUUGGGAGGCGUUACCAACAGAAUAAGCACCGGCUAACUUCGUGCCAGCAGCCGCGGUAAUUC
rnacentral:rRNA from 1 species